GGAGGGAUCGCAUAGUGGUCUAGUGCGCCCGCCUGCUAAGCGGGUCGGGGGGUAACCCCCGCAUGGGUUCGAAUCCCAUUCCCUCCGCCA
rnacentral:tRNA from 1 species